CUUGAAACAAUGAUUGAGCACCUGGUGCGAAGGCAGGGCCCACCCAGGGGAGCUCAGGUGCAUGCAGUGCGCUGAAGUGAUUGGAAGGAGUGGUGCCAGGAUCCACUCCCUCCAAGACCUCAUUUAAGGGAUGGCAGCGGAGGUGAGGUUAUCUUGUUGGAGACCUCUGUUUAUGGGAGUUUUUCUAAAGGUAAGUAGUUUUUUGUUUGUUUGUUUGUUUUUUCUUUCCCCCUUUGUUUCUGUGUUUGAGUUUUUUCUUGUUUGCUGUAGCUGAAGACUAUGUUACCCUUCUUUUAUUGCUAUGCUUUCUAUCAUGUUACAGUAUUACACUGGUUAAGACUUGCAGUGGACUAUGGAAUCUAGAACUGAAUGCUGAAGCAUGGAUUCAUGCAGGAUUUACUGAAUGAUGAUGAACAAUGUGAUUAAUGACUAGGAGGACAUCUCCUCUUCUUGUAUCAAGGGCAUCUUCUACAGAAGCUAUCAUCAUAAUAUGGAUUUUUAAAGGCGGAAAAAGACUAUUCCUUCACAGUAAAACAACAAAUAAUUACACAAACAUUGCUGAAUAUAUGUGAGGAUGCUACACAGAAGAUGGAGGACACAUUUCCUAGACCUUUGAAGAUAACACUUAGUGGACAUACUUGAAGUAAUUAGAAAUCAUAUUGUUAUGAUUAAAAACAGACAAGUACACAUCCUUUGACAGCCUGCAUGAACAUAUCUGCUGAGAUCUUUUCAAAAAGUGAAAAUAUUCUCCUAAAUCCAGCUACUAAUCCAUAAACAGUCAAACUAAUACAUACAGACAUUUAAGCUGUGAACUUUUCCCCAGAAGUAAUAGCUUUUACCUUGCCAUCUCGAGAUGUUAUGGCAGGAAUAUUAAUGAAACCAGGGCAGUAGCAUAUUCUGUUUUUUGACAGGGAGAAUGUGGAACAACAGAACUAGCUAUCAAAAAUGUAUUACUGCUUGCCUCCUAAAUCACAAAGACCUACCUUUUACCUUUCCUAUGCAAAACUAGGAAAUAGUUUUCACUCUUACUCUCUCAGUGUAUCCCUUAAUGUUAAAAGGUAAAGGAAAGUUGAUCAGUGGCUGUGAAGGAUGUAAUGCACUCUUCCUGCACUUAAAAAAAUAUUCUGAGAAUUGAGAAACAAUUCACUUUAUAUUACACAGGACUGGGCAGUAUCCUUUCCCAAGUAUAAAUAUGAGAGAAAAUUUUUAUUAACAGUUUUGAGACUCUCUCACAUUUCCUUAAUUUUUAGAACUUUAAUUUUGGGUUACUUCCAGCAAAAGUAUGUCCUAAUGAUCAGUUAAGGGAAGAUAUUUAAAGAGCAGAACUUUAUGCUGCUAGCAGUGAAGUGAGAACCACUGGAUACUUGAACCAAACUUCCCAUGGGAAUGCUGUAUCAACCUUUUUCGAUUUGCUCCAAGAGUUCAGUUACAAUAAAACUAUAGUAGUUCAUCA
rnacentral:lncRNA from 1 species